GACGAACGCUGGCGGCGUGCCUAAUACAUGCAAGUAGAACGCUGAAGGAGGAGCUUGCUUCUCUGGAUGAGUUGCGAACGGGUGAGUAACGCGUAGGUAACCUGCCUGGUAGCGGGGGAUAACUAUUGGAAACGAUAGCUAAUACCGCAUAAGAGUAGAUGUUGCAUGACAUUUGCUUAAAAGGUGCAAUUGCAUCACUACCAGAUGGACCUGCGUUGUAUUAGCUAGUUGGUGAGGUAACGGCUCACCAAGGCAACGAUACAUAGCCGACCUGGGAGGGGGAUCGGCCACACUGGGACUGAGACACGGCCCAAACUCCUACGGGAGGCAGCAGUAGGGAAUCUUCGGCAAUGGACGGAAGUCUGACCGAGCAACGCCGCGUGAGUGAAGAAGGGUUUCGGAUCGUAAAGCUCUGUUGUAAGAGAAGAACGAGUGUGAGAGUGGAAAGUUCACACUGUGACGGUAUCUUACCAGAAAGGGACGGCUAACUACGUG
rnacentral:rRNA from 1 species